GCGGGUCACGCGGGGGCCGCCGCCCAGCGGCAACGUCACGUCCUCGUGCACGCGGGGCUCGGGCCGGUAACGGGAAAUAAUUACUGGAAGAGUGAAGUUGAUGUGUCACAGCAUCAUCGGGGACUCCGGCAGUGCGUGAGAUUUCUUUCAGCAGCUUCCUCUGUGCCGGGCAGCUAGUGCCGCAGCUGAGCGCGCUUCCUCAGAGCGGUGACCGCUAUGAUCCCAGCUACAGCAGCAAGCUGCCAAAAUCAACAAGGAAUCCAGCAGCAAGAGCUUCCCCACGGGAGCGGGCUUGCCAGAGGUAGUUAGGAUGUUGGUGGUGAUGCGUGCACCGUUUCCACUGUACGGCUUUCUACUCUCUUUCUUUGCUGCAGGCAAACCUCAUGUCCCAUCUUCCCUCAGGGGAACAACUUCAGUGGCCGCGCUUCUGUGUCAGCAAGAGCACAGCUGUGGUCCUCAUAAUUAGCUCAGAAGCGCAGCCAUGAGCGAAAAGAAAGCCAUGGAAAAACCACCCCCCCCCUCCGACAGCAAGGCUGUGAUGAAGACAAACCUCCCAGCACCCACAAAAUGUUUGAUUCACUAAAUACUCCUAUUUGGUGCAUCCUCAUGAAGGGCCGGAUGUCUGAUCCUGAAGUGCUGAGCGCAGGAGUUGCGGUCUUCAUGGUCUCAGGACUGGCUUUUGGUUUCAGCUUAGGAGUGAAUUUUUUGCAUCCUGUACUUUUUGAUCUUCGGCUAGGAAUGAGAGAGAGAAAAGAGAGACCCAGAUGAUGCUUCAUAAACAUUUCUAUUGCAAUGGUGAUUGGACUCCUACCAAUUUUGCUCUGACUUACUGGUUAUUCUCUGGUUGCGUUGAUAUUGUGCCCAGUGGAAAUGGCUCUGUGGUCACUGUGUCCAGAAAGCCCCAUUGCUGUGCUCUCAUCACCUUGGCACACCUGUCCAAUGCAUUCUCACAUUCAUACGUACUUUGUUGAGUUCAGCCUCAGUAGCCUGCAUGGGUUGGUAGCAAGUCUUUUAACUUUGUGUCCCAAGAUGGAACAGUCUCAGAGGUAGCAUAAAAUGGAAGAAUUAUGGUCAUAUUUUGCUGGGGGGUAGAAAACCCUCCUCUGCAAAAUAUGAAGACAGGAUGCAUCUUACCCUCCCCUCAGAUGUUGUAAAACAGUACCCCAGGUUCUCUCAAGAAGAGAAAAGGAUACUUCAAAUAGAGCAUCUCCACUGGUUUCUCUUUUUCACGCACUGUCCUGGCACUAGAAAGGCAGCAAAGGGGAGGAGGAAUCUACAGAGCAAACUGCAAAAUGCCCCUACAUACCAUAUACGCUCAUCACCAGCUGCUCCUUCAUAGACACCAGUUUACACACACAGAGGCAAGGUUACUAACUCAGUUCUGUGUGCCUGUCACAAUUGCUGGCUGCAUUUACAACUGCCUUGCAACACCACAAAUAAGAGAACAAAACUAAGCAAAGUCAGUUUAGGAAAUAAUUCCUUCCUCCCCCCAACUUGCAAAGGAACUCAACUGAGCCAGGGUAAGCCUGAGCAAACAGGUAAAUCUUGCAACACACCCUCCAGGUCAACAAAUUGGCUCUGUCAAACCAAUGGAGUAAUUGGAUUCCAGAGCCAAGGCUACCCUCACCCCACUGAUAAGGCCCUUCCUCCAGCCCCUGCCAAGGAAUUCAGACCUGGGGACUGCUAGUAAUAUGUCCCAGCUGAUUUCAAGUAGUGGGAUGAUGCACAAGGAGCAAGGCUGUCCUGUGCUGGUAACAGAGGAGAACAUGUUCACGUUUCUGUGCUCCCUCUCUGUCCAUAUACACACACCCCACUCCAGAGGGAAUGCCUCAUGCAGAACAGGAGACAUGCUUGGCUAUUAAAUGGCCAAUGAAUUCA